GCUCUUGCUGCGGCUGCAAGGCCAAACAUGGAACCACGCAUGCUUGGUGCUUUGCACAUGUUGGAAGCUGCCAACUCUUUUACGGAACUGCAAUUCCAUGGUAUGUCAUUUAUGCGGUAUACAUCAUUAUGUUGAUGUCAUGCAAUGUUUCCAGUUUUUACCUUGUUUUGUUGUAUAGUCAUUGUGCUAUGGCCAAAUGCCUGUGGCUCUUGCUGCGGCUGCAUGGCCACACAUGGAACCGAGCAUGCUUGGUAUGUCAUUCUGAUGUCUUAUAGCAUGUUGCUGUAGUUUAUUUACAUUUACUCGUUAAAUUGAGAAUUCUUUGCCCACUUCAGGUGUUUUGAGCCUGCCUGUCUGUCUCUUAUCUAUUUUAUCUCUGUCUGCCUGUCUGUGUAACUCUAGAUGUUAACUUGUGGUGUCAAUUAUGUUCAGAUUCACCACCAUACAGUCCAGGACCCGCAUAUGUGACCGGGGCUACAAGGUCACAAACAGACCCACAAGUGCUCGCCUUCAUGGAAAGGAUACUACAAGUGUUAAAUAGCAUGAAGCACACCCAGCAAGCCCAUUUGCAAUAUUUCAACGAGCUGCUAAGUAAUGCCGACAGUGCAGCUCCGCACCCUCAUGGCCUCCCAGUCCUGCCUUUCUCGA